GUCGCCGCAGCGAUCAUGGCAACUUCUUGCAAUUACGGUCGUACCAACCGUACUGGCAAGGUUACAGGGCCUAAAUUUAUACAGGUUUUGUCAUGAGGGCUACCCAGUGAAUUAUCUGUGCAGUGUGAUACGGCUGGGUGUACAGGUUACUUCACAGCUGCCUCAACAUACUCAAGAAAUGGGUGCAGAACCUGCGUAAUGCCCACAAACUUUGACUACCACAGCACCUCCAUAAAGUAAAGGCAUGUGUGUCACAUGGGAUUUUUAAAGGCAUUCACAGUAUAUAA